CUGCAUGAAGUCGGAAUUGCUAGUAAUCGCAGAUCAGCAUGCUGCGGUGAAUACGUUCCCGGGCCUUGUACACACCGCCCGUCACACCAUGGGAGUCGGUAACACCCGAAGCCUGUAGUCUAACCGCAAGGAGGACGCAGUCGAAGGUGGGAUUGAUGACUAGGGUGAAGUCGUAACAAGGUAGC
rnacentral:rRNA from 1 species